GGUCCUACGGGGGGCAGCAGUAGGGAAUAUUGCUCAAUGGGGGAAACCCUGAAGCAGCAACGCCGCGUGGAGGAUGAAGGUUUUAGGAUUGUAAACUCCUUUUGUUAGAGAAGAUUAUGACGGUAUCUAACGAAUAAGCACCGGCUAACUCCGUGCCAGCAGCCGCGGCAAUAUGGAGGGUGCAAGCGUUACUCGGAAUUACUGGGCGUAAAGCGCUCGUAGGCGGUAUGUCAAGU
rnacentral:rRNA from 1 species